CAGGAACUAAGAUAGGACGUUUUGAUGCAUUGGUUAAGUUAUUUUCUGGGGCAGGUGGCAGCACAAAGACACACUGUUUGUCUUUUGUGUCGGACCCCAGGAAGAGAAUAUCUGUCGUCAUAAAAUUAAAAACGGACUGGUAUAUUUUUUUGAUUUCUAUGAACACCCGACAAUCGAUCCCAUGACCCUGGCGUUGGCUAGCGUCAUGCUCUUUACCGACUGAACCACACAGCAGCAUAUUGACCUGGCUUUGGCCACAUCAUAGCUUUCACCAGAAUGGCCUGUCUGUAGAACUAGACCUACUGCAGGCUGAAGUGAAUAGAUGAUGUACUGCUGUACAUUACACUACUGUGUUAUGUGCUGAUUGGGUAUUGCUACGGUGCUGUAAAGGCUGCGUUUACACAGGCAGCCCAAUUGUGAUAUUUUUUUUCUCUCACUUUUGACCAAUCAGAUCAGCUCGUUUGACCAUAAUUGUGGAAAAAGAUCAGAAUUGGACUCCGUAUGUAAACACGGGCAUAGUGUGAUCGUGUUAUUGAUUAGUGUGUACUAGGACAAGAUUGAGCCCCUCUGACAGCAGUAUGGUUACACAACGGCUGGCGAAUGCUAACAAGCAGACAGGCAGACAGCACAGUAUUUCUUUUCCACAUUUAUAUCCAUAUGAAUGAUGUUGCAUGAUUUGGCCCGGUAAGAAGAAUGGCUAGCUGGUAAGAAGAAUGGCUAUCUGGUAAGAAGAAUGGCUGGCUGGUAAGAAGAAUGGCUAGCUGGUAAGAAGAAUGGCUAGCUGGUAAGACGAAUGGCUAGCUGGUAAGAAGAAUGGCUGGCUGGUAAGAAGAAUGGCUGGCUGGUAAGAAGAAUGGCUAGCUGGUAAGAAGAAUGGCUAGCUGGUAAGAAGAAUGGCUGGCUGGUAAGAAGAAUGGCUGGCUGGUAAGAAGAAUGGCUAGCUGGUAAGAAGAAUGGCUAGCUGGUAAGAAGAAUGGCUAGCUGGUAAGAAGAAUGGCUGGCUGACGUCAGACACCAUUAGCUCUCUAUGGUAAGCGGAAGAUCUAAUUCAUAUUUUGCAACAUUGUUGCAGAGGUCUGAGUGGCAAACAGCAAGGUUCAUACAAACCUGUUGCAAACUAAAUGCUAGCAAGAGGAAAUAAUGGGUUUAAUAAAAACAUACAGCCUUUAAAACACAUUUUAAAAUGGGGAGGGGGGGGGGGGUUCUAUAUAGAACCUUUUGGAUAAUUGAAUAAAACUGCCAAUCCAUUCCAGCAUGAUGACGCAAAAGGUCAGUGGUAGAAGCGACAUGCAAGCAGUCUACCAAUAAGUACGUUAUUUUUCAAUGUGUUAAGGUAAGCGAAGUUGAUUAUUUAAUUCAAAUAUAUAAAGCCAAAGUCGUAUGAUAAAUUAUAGGCUAGAUAAAUAAAGUUGUAAAAGUUAUUCGAAUUUAGAGCACGUUUGUAAGCCAGCUAGCUAGCUAGCUAACUUAGUUGGCUAAACAUAAAAAAAGAUAGGCUACUUUAAUUCACCACUUUACAAGCUAGCCAUACAAAUAAACAUACUUUUUUUAUUAUGGGAUAUGCCAAAUAGUGCUACAGAUCCAGCCUGACAUCGGAAAUGACCUAAUUGUUUAUUUUAUUUCGCUAUUACAGUGUGUAGUCAAUUGAGGGGAUUGUGUUUCAUGAAGCCAUUAGAAGACUGUUGCUGACUGAGAGGAGGUAUACAUUAUUUAUUAUAAACGAUGUACAGUGCAAUCGGAAACUAUUCAGACCCCUUCCAUUUUCCCACAUGUUGUUACUUUACAGGUAUUUAUUUUCCUCAUCAAUCUACACACAAUACCCUAUAAUGACAAAGCGAAAACAGUUUUUACAUUUUUUUUGCUAAUUUAUUACAAAUAAAAAAACAGAAAUAACUUAUUUAUAUAAGUAUUCAGACCCUUUGCUAUGAGACUCAAAAUUGAGCUCAGGUGCAUCCUGUUUCCAUUAAUCCUCUUUGAGAUGUUUCUACCACUUGAUUGGAGUACAACUGUGGUAAAUUCAAUUGAUUGGACAUUAUUUGGAAAGGCACACACGCCUGUCUAUAUAUGGUCCUACAGUUGACAGUGCACAUCAGAGCAAAAACCAAGCCAUGAGGUCGAAGGAAUUGUCCAUAGUGCUCCGAGACAGGAUUUUACAGAGGCACAGUUGUGGGGAAGGGUACCAAAAAAUGUCUGAAGCAUUGAAGGUCCCCAAGAACAAAGUGGCCUCCAUCAUUCUUCAAUGGAAUGAGAACCUUCCAGAAGGACAACCAUCUCUGCAGAACUCCACCAAUCAGGCCUUUGUUGUAGAGUGGCCAGACGGAAGUAAAAAAACACAUGGCAGCCGGCUUGGAGUUUACCAAAAGGCACCUAAAGGACUCUCAGACCAUGAGAAACAACAUUUUCUGGUCUGAUGAAACCAAUAUUGAACUCUUUAGCCUGAAUACCAAGCGUCCUGUCUGGAGGAAACCUGGCACCAUCCCUACGGUGAAGCAUGGUGGUGGCAGCAUCAUGCUGUGUGGAUGUUUUUCAGCGGCAGGGACUGUGAGACUAGUCAGGAUCAAGGGAAAGAUGAAUGGAGCAGAGAGAUCCUUGAUGAAAACUUCCUCCAGAGGGCUGAGGACCUCAGACUGGGGCGAAGGUUAAUCUUUCAACAGGACAAUGACCCUAAGCACACAGCCAAGGCAAUGCAGGAGCAGCUUUGGGACAAGUCUCUAAAUAUCCUUGAGUGGCCCAGCCGGACUUGAACCCAAUCUAACAUCUCUAGAGAGACCUGAAAUAACUGUGCAGCGAUGCUCCCCAUCCAACCUGACAGAGCUUGAGAGGAUCUUCAGAGAAGAAUGGGAGAAACUCCCCAAAUACAGGUGUGCCGAGGUUGUAGCGUCAUACCCAAGAAGACUCAAGGCUGUAAUCACUGCCAAAGGUGUUUCAACAAAGUACUGAGUAAAGGGUCUGAAUACUUAUGUAAAUGUAAUAUUUCAGUUUUUCUUUUGAUUUUAUACACUUGCAAAAAUGCUGAAGUUGAACGGAGCAGAACACAGAUUUUUGUUGUUCACUAUAAAUAAUGGAAAAACUAUACUGUAGUGUAUGGUAUGGAAUGGUAUGGAAUGGAAUGGUAUGGAAUGGUAUGGUAUGGUAUGGAAUGGUAUGGAAUGGUAUGGUAUGGUAUGGAAUGGUAUGGUAUGGAAUGGUAUGGAAUGGUAUGGAACGGAAUGGUAUGGUAUGGUAUGGAAUGGAAUGGUAUGGAAUUGGUAUGGUAUGGAAUGGUAUGGUAUGGAAUGGUAUGGUAUGGAAUGGUAUGGAAUGGUAUGGUAUGGUAUGGAAUGGAAUGGUAUGGAAUGGAAUGGUAUGGAAUGGUAUGGUAUGGAAUGGUAUGGAAUGGUAUGGUAUGGAAUGGUAUGGAAUGGAAUGGUAUGGAAUGGUAUGGUAUGGAAUGGUAUGGUAUGGAAUGGUAUGGAAUGGUAUUGUAUGGAAUGGUAUGGAAUGGUAUUGUAUGGAAUGGUAUGGUAUGGAAUGGUAUGGAAUGGUAUGGUAUGGAAUGGUAUGGAAUGGUAUGGUAUGGAAUGGUAUUGCAUUGUAUUGUAUUGUAUUGAAUGGUAUGGUAUGGUAUGGUAGUGUAUUGUAUUGUAUUGAAUGGUAUGGUAUUGUAUUGUAUUGAAUGGUAUGGUAUGGUAGUGUAUUGUAUUGUAUUGAAUGGUAUGGUAUUGUAUUGUAUUGAAUGGUAUGGUAUUGUAUUGUAUUGAAUGGAAUGGUAUGGUAGUGUAUUGUAUUGUAUUGUACUGUAUUGAAUGGUAUGGUAGUGUAUUGUAUUGUAUUGAAUGGAAUGGUAUGGUAUGGUAUGGUGUUGUAUUGUAUUGUAUUGUAUUGAAUGGUAUGGUAUUGAAUGGUAUGGUAUGGUAUUGUAUUGUAUUGUAUUGUAUUGUAUUGUAUUGUAUUGUACUGCAAAUAAGUCAGCCAGAGUUGGCAUGGGCCAUCAUUCAAACAAAGAGAUGCCUCUCUGGCCACCAGUGCACAUUUCCAAACUAUGUUUGCAUACAAUGACAAUAAAUUCUAAAAACUA